GACCUGCUAGCUCAGCUGGUAGAGCAUCUCCCUUUUAAGGAGAGGGUCCUAGGUUCGAGUCCUAGGCAGGUCACCA
rnacentral:tRNA from 1 species